AUACUAGGGACUUUAAGCAACAGCCUCUGGUGGAACGGCAACGCCAUUCUGGCGUUGUAUUGCGCAUGCGCGAAUUUAACUGCUACAUUGUGACGUUCUACUUUAACGGUCUACUACGGGAGAACAGCUGAUUUGCCGGAGUCGCUACAACGUGAGAGAUUAGGUAAAUAAAUGUUAUGUUUUUAGACUUAUUUACAUCAUACAAUAUUAAAAACUCCUCUUCUGACAAAAGAUUGUCAUUUAAUGCCAAAAGCAAUCCUUCUCUUGCUUUUUUAAAUGACAUUUUUUUGUAUCUCAAUAAAUGAAUUAAUGCCGCGUUGCGCUGUCCUGUUUACCGUUGCUUAGUGAUUUUUACGUUCUUGGCUACGGCGGUGUGACAGCAAACUUCCGGUCGCUGUAGCCGUUCCAUUCGCAGCUGUUGCUUAAAGUCCCUACUGUCU